rnacentral:rRNA from 1 species
UACGUAGGGGGCUAGCGUUGUCCGGAAUCAUUGGGCGUAAAGAGCGUGUAGGCGGUCCGGUAAGUCCGCUGUGAAAGUCGGGGGCUCAACCCUCGAAUGCCGGUGGAUACUGUCGGGCUAGAGUGCGGAAGAGGCGAGUGGAAUUCCUGGUGUAGCGGUGAAAUGCGUUGAUAUCAUCAGGAACACCGGUGGCGAAGGCGGCUUUCUGGGUCUUAC